UACGGGGGGGGCAAGCGUUGUUCGGAAUUACUGGGCGGAAAGGGCUCGUAGGCGGCCAACUAAGUCAGACGUGAAAUCCCCAGGCUCAACCUGGGAACUGCGUCUGAUACUGGAUGGCUUGAAUCCGGGAGAGGGAUGCAGAAUUCCAGGUGUAGCGGUGAAAUGCGUAGAUAUCUGGAGGAAUACCGGUGGCGAAGGCGGCAUCCUGGACCGGCAUUGACGCUGAGGAGCGAAAGCUGGGGGAGCAAACGGG
rnacentral:rRNA from 1 species